UACGGAGGAGGCGAGCGUUAUCCGGAAUUAUUGGGCGUAAAGCGUCCGUAGGUGGUUUAGUAAGUCUGCUGUUAAAGCGCGGGGCUUAACUCCGUAUCGGCAGUGGAAACUACUAGACUAGAGUGUGGUAGGGGUAGAGGGAAUUCCCAGUGUAGCGGUGAAAUGCGUAGAUAUUGGGAAGAACACCGGUGGCGAAGGCGCUCUACUGGGCCAUAACUGACACUGAUGGACGAAAGCUAGGGGAGCGAAAGGG
rnacentral:rRNA from 1 species